rnacentral:rRNA from 1 species
GCCUACACAUGCAAGUCGAACGAGAUCCUUCGGGGUCUAGUGGCGCACGGGUGCGUAACGCGUGGGAAUCUGCCCAAAGGUUCGGAAUAACAGUUAGAAAUGACUGCUAAUACCGGAUAACGUCGCAAGACCAAAGAUUUAUUGCCUUUGGAUGAGCCCGCGUAGGAUUAGCUAGUUGGUGGGGUAAAGGCCUACCAAGGCGACGAUCCUUAGCUGGUCUGAGAGGAUGAUCAGCCACACUGGGACUGAGACACGGCCCAGACUCCUACGGGAGGCAGCAGUGGGGAAUAUUGGACAAUGGGCGAAAGCCUGAUCCAGCAAUGCCGCGUGAGUGAUGAAGGCCUUAGGGUUGUAAAGCUCUUUUACCCGGGAUGAUAAUGACAGUACCGGGAGAAUAAGCUCCGGCUAACUCCGUGCCAGCAGCCGCGGUAAU